GGGUCAGUAGGUUGGUCGUGCCACCGGUACGUACUGGUCUCACUGAUUCCUCCUUCCUGAAGAACCGUAAUGCCAUUAAUUUGGUGUUGCGGGGAAACAGGACUGUUACUUUGAAAAAAUUAGAGUGUUUAAAGCAAGCUAACGCUUGAAUACAUUAGCAUGGAAUAAUGAAAUAGGACGAUCGAUCCUAUUUUGUUGGUUUCUAGGAUUGACGUAAUGAUUAAUAGGAUAAUUGGG
rnacentral:rRNA from 1 species